UACGGGGGGGGCAAGCGUUGUUCGGAAUUACUGGGCGUAAAGGGCGCGUAGGCGGCUCUUCAAGUCAGCCGUGAAAUCUCCAGGCUUAACCUGGAAGGGUCGGUUGAUACUGUCGAGCUAGAGUGUGGAAGAGGCAACUGGAAUUCCGUGUGUAGCGGUGAAAUGCGUAGAUAUCGAGAGGAACACCUGCGGCGAAGGCGGGUUGCUGGGCUGAUACUGACGCUGAGGCGCGAAAGCCAGGGGAGCGAACGGG
rnacentral:rRNA from 1 species